rnacentral:rRNA from 1 species
CUUUACUGUAGCCUGGAAUUGGCUUCGGGCGGUGCUUGCGCAGUAUAGGUGGAAGGCGUUGAGAUUACUCUUGCGGGAUUAGUGGAGCCAUCAGUGAGAUACCACUCCUAUAAUGUUAGAUUUCUAACUUUGGAUCAUAAUCUGGUCAAAGAACAGUUUCAGGCGGGCAGUUUGACUGGGGCGGUCGCCUCCCAAAUGGUAACGGAGGCGUACACAGGUUUCCUCUGAACGGGUAGAAAUCGUAUCUAGAGUGUAAAGGCAUAAGGAAGCUUGACUGUGAGACCUACAAGUCGAGCAGGGACGAAAGUCGGUCUUAGUGAUCUGACGGUGCUGAGUGGAAAGGCCGUCACUCAACGGAUAAAAGUUA